rnacentral:ncRNA from 1 species
AGACUUGGUCGUAGAGCCACGACCAACUUAAGAUGACGGGAAUCAAACCCGUCAGUCUAAACUAAAGAAAGCUCACUGAGA